rnacentral:rRNA from 1 species
UACGAAGGGGGCUAGCGUUGCUCGGAAUUACUGGGCGUAAAGCGCACGUAGGCGGUCUUUUAAGUCGGGGGUGGAAUCCUGGAGCUCAACUCCAGAACUGCCUUCGAUACUGGAAGACUUGAGUCCGGGAGAGGUGAGUGGAACUGCGAGUGUAGAGGUGAAAUUCGUAGAUAUUCGCAAGAACACCAGUGGCGAAGGCGGCUCACUGGCCCGAUACUGACGCUGAGGCACGAAAGCGUGGGGAGCAAACAGG